rnacentral:sRNA from 1 species
ACUCGAGCGAAGCGAGAGAACGUUGCCGCAGGCAAUGGCCCGAAGGCGAGGCGCUUUAGCGCCGAGUAAUCCUUCCCCCACCACUU